rnacentral:rRNA from 1 species
AGAAUCAACGCUGGCGGCGUGCCUAACACAUGCAAGUCGCACGAGAAAGGGACUUCGGUCCUGAGUACAGUGGCGCACGGGUGAGUAACACGUGAAUCAUCUACCUCCGAGUGGGGAAUAACUGAGAGAAAUCUUAGCUAAUACCGCAUAACACUUACGAGUCAAAGCAGCAAUGCGCUUGGAGAGGAGUUCGCGGCAGAUUAGUUAGUUGACGGGGUAAUGGCCCACCAAGACGAUGAUCUGUA